rnacentral:rRNA from 1 species
GUGCCAGCCGCCGCGGUAAUACGUAGGUGGCAAGCGUUGUCCGGAUUUAUUGGGCGUAAAGCGAGCGCAGGCGGUUUUUUAAGUCUGAUGUGAAAGCCUUCGGCUCAACCGAGGAAGUGCAUCGGAAACUGGGAAACUUGGAUGCAGAAGAGGACAGUGGAACUCCAUGUGUAGCGGUGAAAUGCGUAGAUAUAUGGAAGAACACCAGUGGCGAAGGCGGCUGUCUGGUCUGUAACUGACGCUGAGGCUCGAAAGUAUGGGUAGCAAACAGGAUUAGAUACCCUGGUAGUCCAUACCGUAAACGAUGAAUGCUAAGUGUUGGAGGGUUUCCGCCCUUCAGUGCUGCAGCUAACGCAUUAAGCAUUCCGCCUGGGGAGUACGGCCGCAAGGCUGAAACUCAAAGGAAUUGACGGGGGCCCGCACAAGCGGUGGAGCAUGUGGUUUAAUUCGAAGCUACGCGAAGAACCUUACCAGGUCUUGACAUACUAUGCAAAUCUAAGAGAUUAGACGUUCCCUUCGGGGACAUGGAUACAGGUGGUGCAUGGUUGUCGUCAGCUCGUGUCGUGAGAUGUUGGGUUAAGUCCCGCAACGAGCGCAACCCUUAUUAUCAGUUGCCAGCAUUAAGUUGGGCACUCUGGUGAGACUGCCGGUGACAAACCGGAGGAAGGUGGGGAUGACGUCAAAUCAUCAUGCCCCUUAUGACCUGGGCUACACACGUGCUACAAUGGAUGGUACAACGAGUUGCGAACUCGCGAGAGUAAGCUAAUCUCUUAAAGGCAUUCUCAGUUCGGAUUGUAGGCUGCAACUCGCCUACAUGAAGUCGGAAUCGCUAGUAAUCGCGGAUCAGCAUGCCGCGGUGAAUACGUUCCCGGGCCUUGUACACACCGCCCGU